UAGCAGCAUCGUUGCACAUGUCAAAGCCAAAAUCCUGCAGCCUCCUGCUGGCACUCUCUGCCCAUUGGCACGGGGACUUUCCCCGCAGCAUUGCCAGGAGCAAACUCCUCGUUUGUGCGCUGCAAAGUCGUGCUUCCCCUGCCUUCUGAAGCACAUGCUGAUGCCCAUUACCACCUGCAAUGAAGAUGCUCUUACACCAAAGACUUCUGAAAAAUUGACU
rnacentral:RNase_MRP_RNA from 1 species